AUAAUGAUACUUCCGUCUAGCCACAGUUCAGCGCAAUGGGGGCGGCUUGCAGCGAUCCUGGAAGAGGUUUGAAGCCUAUGA
rfam:Paenibacillus sp. VKM B-2647 B-2647_039, whole genome shotgun sequence.